UACGGAGGGGGCUAGCGUUGUUCGGAAUUACUGGGCGUAAAGCGCGCGUAGGCGGAUCUGCAAGUCGGGGGUGAAAUCCCGAGGCUCAACCUCGGAACUGCCUUCGAUACUGCGGGUCUCGAGUCCGGGAGAGGUGAGUGGAAUUCCUAGUGUAGAGGUGAAAUGCGUAGAUAUCUGGAGGAACACCAGUGGCGAAAGCGGCGCACUGGACCAUAACUGACGCUGAGGCGCGAAAGCUAGGGGAGCAAACAGG
rnacentral:rRNA from 1 species